rnacentral:rRNA from 1 species
GUGAAUUUGCGCGGAAAAUUACCGGGGCUAAACUAUACACCGAAAUUACGGAUUUAUGUUUGAAAGAGAGCAUAAGUGGUAGAGGAGCAUUCUGUAGUAGGGAGAAGCUAAAGCGAGAGUAUUAGUGGACGAAGCAGAAGAGAGAAUGCUGGAAUAAGUAGCGAGAGCAAGGUGAGAAUCCUUGCCGUCGAAAGUCUAAGGUUUCCUGGGGAAGGUUCGUCCGCCCAGGGUAAGUCGGGACCUAAGGAGAGGCCGAAAGGCGUAUCUGAUGGAUAGCAGGUGGAAAUUCCUGCACUAUAGCCAUACUUAAAAGAUGCAAGGGACGCAGGAGAGGAAGAUAACCGAGGAAGAGGAAAAACUCGGAUCGAAAGAUGGAGUGAAAAUAGAAGUAACGAAGUAUCAAGAAUCACACUGACGAGAAAAGCUUGUAGAGAUUGUAUGGAAAUACCCGUACCGCAAACCGACACAGGUAGAUGAGGAGAGGAUCCUAAGACGAACGGGAGAAGCAUUGUUAAGGAACUCGGCAAAAUGACCCCGUAACUUCGGGAGAAGGGGAGCCUAUGUAAAAGUAGGCCGCAGUGAAAAGGCCCAAGCAACUGUUUAACAAAAACACAGGUUUCUGCUAAAUCGAAAGAUGAAGUAUAGGAGCUGACGCCUGCCCAGUGCUGGAAGGUUAAGGGGAAAUGUUAGGAGCAAUCCGAAGCAUAGAACUGAAGCCCCAGUGAACGGCGGCCGUAACUAUAACGGUCCUAAGGUAGCGAAAUUCCUUGUCAGGUAAGUUCUGACCCGCACGAAAGGCGUAAUGAUUUGGGCACUGUCUCGACAAUGUACCCGGCGAAAUUGUAGUACUAGUGAAGAUGCUAGUUACCUGCGACAAGACAGAAAGACCCCAUGGAGCUUUACUGCAGUUUGAUACUGGGUUUUGAUAAACUAUGUACAGGAUAGGUGGGAGACUAAGAAAGCAAGGCGUCAGCUUUGCUGGAGUCACCGUUGGGAUACCACUCUUAGUUUGUUGAAAUUCUAACUAGUGGUCAUGACCUGGCCAGAGGACAAUGUCAGACGGGCAGUUUGACUGGGGCGGUCGCCUCCAAAAGAGUA